ensembl:misc_RNA 7SK 7SK RNA
GAAUGUGAGGGCAAUCUGGCUGUUAUAUCUGUCACCCCAUUGAUCUCCAAGGUUUAAUCAGCUGAUCUGGCUGGCUAGGCUUGUGUCCUCUUCCUCCCUUGUUGCUUCAUGUACUUCCUCCCAAAGCUGUUCGUGCUCAGUUGAAGAGAUUGCCUUCCCCAAAUAGAGACAGACCCAUCUUCAGACAAGGGUAUAUGAGUAGCUGCAUUCCCCUUUUAGAACCUCCAGACAAGCUUUCAAGAUCCAUAGAAGCUAAGAGUGAGUAUUUCUAUGUCUUCAACCUUUUGGACGAGUUUUAAA